rnacentral:ncRNA from 1 species
UAAAAUAAAGCCAAACCUGUCGUGAGGCAGGGAUGGAAAGCCACGGGUCUUAUUAAAAUGAAAGACAGCCGGGUUGCUGAAA